AACGAACGCUGGCGGCAGGCUUAACACAUGCAAGUCGAACGCAUCCUUCGGGGUGAGUGGCAGACGGGUGAGUAACGCGUGGGAACGUGCCCUUCAGUUCGGGAUAACCCAGGGAAACUUGGGUUAAUACCGGAUACGUGCGAGAGCAGAAAGACUUAUCGCUGAAGGAUCGGCCCGCGUCUGAUUAGCUAGUUGGUGGGGUAAUGGCCCACCAAGGCGACGUGCAGUAGCUGGUCUGAGAGGAUGAUCAGCCACAUUGGGACUGAGACACGGCCCAAACUCCUACGGGAGGCAGCAGUGGGGAAUAUUGGACAAUGGGCGCAAGCCUGAUCCAGCCAUGCCGCGUGAGUGAUGAAGGCCUUAGGGUUGUAAAGGUCUUUCGUCCGGGACGAUAUUGACGGUACCGGAAGAAGAAGCCCCGGCUAACUUCGUGCCAGCAGCCGCCGCCGUAA
rnacentral:rRNA from 1 species